GCUAAACGCGAAGAACCUUACCCAGGCCUGACAUCCUGCUAAAGACCCGAAAGGGACGUGUGCCUUCGGGCCGGCAGUGACAGGUGAUGCAUGGCCGUCGUCAGCUCGUGUCGUGAGAUGUUUGGUUAAGUCCAUCAACGAGCGCAACCCUUACUAGUUAGUUGUAUUUCUCUAGCUAGACUGCCCUGGUAACAGGGAGGAAGGAGGGGAGUGAUGUCAGGUCAGUAUUUCCCUUACGUCUGGGGCUACAAACACGCUACAAUGGCCGGUACAAAGGGCAGCCAACCCGCGAGGGGGAGCAAAUCCCAUCAAAGCCGGUCUCAGUUCGGAUAGCAGGCUGAAAACUCGCCUGCUUGAAGCUGGAAUCGCUAGUAAUGGUAGGUCAGCACACUACCGUGAAUACGUUCCCGGGUCUUGUACACACCG
rnacentral:rRNA from 1 species